UUUCACCUUUUCCUUCGGACGUUUUUUCUUUCUUCUCUGCAACUUCCCUAAGGUUUUCUACUUGUUGCUUUCCAGUUCGUCGGCUUUCUGAUGUCUCAAACGGAUACAAACCACUCGUCCGAUUCGGCAUGGCCUGAAAGGGAAGCAAUGGAGCCAAUCGGGGACAUAAUGAGCCCUCAGUUAAUAGUUGACUUACCGACCACAAACAAAGGAGCUGCUCAGGGAAACGUUCUACUUUCUGGUAAUUGGGGGUGCCCGCCAACUUCUAC